rnacentral:rRNA from 1 species
GUGGGGAAUUUUGGACAAUGGGGGCAACCCUGAUCCAGCCAUGCCGCGUGAGGGAAGAAGGCCUUCGGGUUGUAAACCUCUUUCGGGCGGGACGAAAUCGCACCGGUGAAUAAUCGGUGUGGAUGACGGUACCGCAAGAAGAAGCACCGGCUAACUACGUGCCAGCAGCCGCGGUAAUACGUAGGGUGCGAGCGUUAAUCGGAAUUACUGGGCGUAAAGCGUGCGCAGGCGGCCGCUCAAGCCAGGCGUGAAAGCCCCGGGCUCAACCUGGGAAUGGCGCUUGGGACUGAGUGGCUGGAGUGCGGAAGAGGGAGCUGGAAUUCCUGGUGUAGCAGUGAAAUGCGUAGAGAUCAGGAGGAACACCGAUGGCGAAGGCAGGCUCCUGGGCUAGCACUGACGCUCAUGCACGAAAGCGUGGGGAGCAAACAGGAUUAGAAACCCCUGUAGUCC